UACGUAGGGUGCAAGCGUUGUCCGGAAUUACUGGGCGUAAAGCGUGCGCAGGCGGUUUGCUAAGACCGAUGUGAAAUCCCCGGGCUUAACCUGGGAACUGCAUUGGUGACUGGCAGGCUAGAGUAUGGCAGAGGGGGGUAGAAUUCCACGGUGUAGCAGUGAAAUGCGUAGAGAUCGUAAGGAAGACCAGUGGCGAAGGCGGGUCUCUGGACAGUUCCUGACACUGAGGCACGAAGGCCAGGGGAGCAAACGGG
rnacentral:rRNA from 1 species